rnacentral:rRNA from 1 species
UUGAACGCUGGCGGGGCGUGCUUUAAACACAUGCAAGUCGUGCGAGAGAAAGGGGGACUUUCGGUCCCUGAGUAGAGCGGGCGCCACGGGUGAGUAACCGGCGUGGAUAAUCUACCCAGAUAUUCGGGAUAACGGCGGGAAACUUGCCGCUAAUAACCGGAUACGCUCCAAUUUCGGUUUGGGGGAAAGGCGGCCCUCUGCUUGCAAAGCUGUCGUAUCUGGAUGAGUCCCGCGUCCCAUUAGCUUGUUGGUGGGGUAAUGGCCUACCAAGGCCGACGAUGGGUAGCUGGGUCUGAGAGGAUGAUCAGCCACACUGGAACUGAAACACGGUCCAGACUCCUACGGGAGGCAGCAGUGGGGAAUAUUGCGCAAAUGGGGGAAACCCCUGACGCAGCGACGGCCGUGUGAGGGAAGAAGGCUUUCGGGUCGUAAACCUCUGUCGGGAGGGAAGAACCUUCCCAGGUCUGAACAAGGCUUGGAACUGACGGUACCAUCCAAAGGGAAGCACCGGCCCUAACUCUGUGCCAGCAGCCGCGGUAAUACGGGAGGGUGCAAGCGGUUAAUCGGAAAUCACUGGGCGUUAAAGCGCCGCGUUAGGCCGGCCUUUUAAGUCGGACGUGAAAGCCCUCGGCUCAAACCGGGGAAACUGCGUUUCGAAAACUGGGAGGCUUGAGUCCUGGAGAGGGUGGCGGAAUUCCGGGUGUAGGAGUGAAAUCCGUAGAUAUCCGGAGGAAAACACCGGUGGCGAAGGCGGCCACCUGGACAGGUACUGACGCUGAGGCGCGAAAGCGUGGGGAGCCAAAAACAGGAUUAGAUACCCUGGUAGUCCACGCCUGUGGGUGGUAAACGAUGGAUGCUAGGUGUCGGGGAGCGACUCUUCGGUGGCCGCCAGUUUAACCCGCAUUAAGCAUCCCGCCUGGGGAGUACGGUCGCAAGGCCUGAAAAACUCAAAGGAAUUGACGGGGGCCCGCACAAGCGGUUGGAGUAAUGUGGUUUAAUUCGAUGCAAACGCGAAGAACCUUACCUGGGUUUGGACAUCCCGCGAAUUCCUCCCGAAAAGGAGGAGUGCCCUUCGGGGAGCGCGGUGACAGGUGCUGCAUGGCUGUCGUUCAGCUCGUGCCGUGAGGUGUUGGGUUAAGUUCCCCGCAACGAGCGCAAACCCUUUGUCUUUAGUUGCCAGCGAGUAUGUCGGGCACUGCUAGAGAGACCGCCUCGGUCAACGGGGAGGAAGGUUGGGGACGACGUCAAGCUCAUCAUGGCCCUUACGCCCAGGGCUACACACGUACUACAAUGGUGGGUACAAUGGGCUGGCGAGACCGCAAGGUGGAGCCCAAUCCCAAAAAAAACCCCAUCCCAGUCCGGAUCGGGGUCUGCAAACUCGACCCGUGAAGUCGAGAAAUCGCUAGUAAUCGGAGAUCAGCAUGCUCCGGUGAAUACGUUUCCCGGGGCCCUUGUACACACCGCCCGUCACACCACGAAAGUCGGUUCUUACCCGAAAGCUCCGGGCUAAACCCUCGGGAGGCAGGAGUCUACGGUAGGGCUAAUGAUUGGGGGU